rnacentral:rRNA from 1 species
GACGAACGCUGGCGGCGUGCUUAACACAUGCAAGUCGAACGGAAAGGCCCUGCUUUUGUGGGUUUCUCGAUUGCCGAACGGGUGUGUAAAACGUGUGUAACCUCCCCUUGACUUUGGGAUAACUUCAGGAAACUGGGGCUAAUACCCGAUAGGAGCUCCUGCUGCAUGUUGGGGGUUGGAAAGUUUCGGCGUUUGUGGAUGGACUCGCGGCUUCUCAGCUGGUUGGUGGGGUAGUGGCUUACGAGGCCUUCGAAGGGUAGCCGGCCUGAGAGGGUUGCCGGGCACAUGGGGACUGAGAGACGGCCCAGACGCGUACGGGCGGCAGUAGUGGGGAAUCUUGCACAAUGGGCGGAAGCCUGAUGCAGCAACGCCGCGUGCGGGAUGACGGCCUUCGGGUUGUAAACCGCUUUCGACGGUGACGAAGCGGGAGUGACGGUAAUGGGUAAAGAAGCACCGGCUAACUACGUG